GGUACUAUCCUGUAACAGAACUGUGGGGACACAGGCAGAGAGCGUGAGCCGGGAAUGGAAAGACCGGUACAAGCGAGGUAGGAGAAGAGUUGGCAAAUCCGCUCUUUAAUCUGAAGACGUGAUGUGGACUGAAAAUAAGUAGGGAAGCACGUGAGCUGACUGUCAAGAAAAGCCGCUAUUGUUUGCAGGAUACCCGUACCGUAAACCGACACAGGUGGAUGAGGAGAGGAUCCUAAGGCCGACGGGAGAAGCAUUGUUAAGGAACUCGGCAAAAUGACUCCGUAACUUCGGGAGAAGGAGUGCCAGUAAGAUGGCCGCAGAGAAUUGGCCCAAGCAACUGUUUAGCAAAAACACAGGUCUAUGCAAAACCGAAAGGUGAGGUAUAUGGGCUGACGCCUGCCCGGUGCUGGAAGGUUAAGGGGAGAGGUUAGCGCAAGCGAAGCUUUGAACUUAAGCCCCAGUAAACGGCGGCCGUAACUAUAACGGUCCUAAGGUAGCGAAAUUCCUUGUCGGGUAAGUUCCGACCCGCACGAAAGGCGUAAUGAUUUGGGCACUGUCUCAACAAUGCACCCGGUGAAAUUGAAAUACCAGUGAAGAUGCUGGUUACCUGCGCCAGGACGGAAAGACCCCAUGGAGCUUUACUCCAGCUUGAUACUGGGAUUCGGUAUUGCAUGUACAGGAUAGGUGGGAGGCUAGGAAAUGGUAACGCCAGUUGCCAUGGAGCCAAUGUUGGGAUACCACCCUUGCAGUACUGGGUUUCUAACCAGCAGCCGUGAUCCGGCUGGGGGACAAUGUCAGGUGGGGAGUUUGACUGGGGCGGUCGCCUCCGAAAGGGUAUCGGAGGCGCUCAAAGGUUCCCUCAGAAUGGUUGGAAACCAUUCGAAGAGUGCAAAGGCAGAAGGGAGCUUGACUGCGACACCGACGGGUGGAGCAGGUACGAAAGUAGGACUUAGUGAUCCGGUGGUAUAAAGUGGGAUUGCCAUCGCUCAACGGAUAAAAGCUACCCUGGGAUAACAGGCUUAUCACUCCCAAGAGUUCACAUCGACGGAGUGGUUUGGCACCUCGAUGUCGGCUCAUCGCAUCCUGGGGCUGAAGUAGGUCCCAAGGGUUGGGCUGUUCGCCCAUUAAAGCGGUACGCGAGCUGGGUUCAGAACGUCGUGAGACAGUUCGGUCCCUAUCCGGCGUGGGCGUAAGAUAUUUGAGAGGAGCUGUCCUUAGUACGAGAGGACCGGGAUGGACUGGCCGCUGGUGUAUCUGUUGUCUUACCAAAGGCAUAGCAGAGUAGCCAAGCCGGGAAGGGAUAAACGCUGAAGGCAUCUAAGCGUGAAGCCCCCCUCAAGAUGAGAUAUCUCAUAACGUCAAGUUAGUAAGACCCCUUGAAGACGACGAGGUAGAUAGGGCAGAGGUGGAAGUGUGGUAACACAUGGAGCUGACUGUUACUAAUAGGUCGUGGGCAUAACCU
rnacentral:rRNA from 1 species